CAGAAGAGGAUAAGUUCUUAAUCACAGGGAAUUCCAUUGGAGAACAAGUUGUGUACCUGGUCCAUAUUCAAGCCUUAUGGAAUGGAUUACUGCACAAGACAAUCCAGAGAAUUCUGGGAAAGUCUAAAUCAGAUUUAAAUCAAUAAUUCUACACUGUUGGAUCACAAAUCAAUCAAGGGCUAGGAGGAUAGCUAGGGUUUCGCCAAGACACUAUAUAAAGGAGCAGAGAGAAACGUUUCUUCAUCUCUUCUUCGCACAGUAAUCGGCAUUUUCGCACGAUCUUACGAGAUUGCGAACAUAUCAACGUUCUCGGAAUCUGCCGAAACCAAAUUCUUGGCUCCUUUUGGGACCUCCAUACACCCACAACAUUGAUCUUUCAACUUUUUUUGAGAAAAUUUGACGUGUUAUUUUUUCGCACGAUCUUAGAGAUUGCGAACAUAUCAACGUUCUCGGAAUCUGCCGAUACCAAAUUCUUGGCUCUUUUUGGGACCUCCAUACACCCACAACAUUGAUCUUUCAACUUUUUUUGAGAAAAUUUGAGGUGUUAUUUUGGCAUUUUCGCACGAUCUUACGAGAUUGCGAACAUAUCAACGUUCUCGGAAUCUGCCGAAACCAAAUUCUUGGCUCUUUGUGGGACCUCCAUACACCCACAACAUUGAUCUUUCAACUUUUUUUGAGAAAAUUUGAGGUGUUAUUUUGGCAUUUUCGCACGAUCUUACGAGAUUGCGAACAUAUCAACGUUCUCGGAAUCUGCCGAAACCAAAUUCUUGGCUCUUUUUGGGACCUCCAUACACCCACAACAUUGAUCUUUCAACUUUUUUUGAGAAAAUUUGACGUGUUAUUUUGGCAUUUUCGCACGAUCUUACGAGAUUACGAUCAUAUCAACGUUCUCGGAAUCUGCCGAAACCAAAUUCUUGGCUCUUUUUGGGACCUCCAUACACCCACAACAAUGAUCUUUCAACUUUUUUUGAGAAAAUUAGACGUGUUAUUUUUUCGCACGAUCUUACGAGAUUGCGAACAUAUCAACGUUCUCGGAAUCUGCCGAAACCAAAUUCUUGGCUCUUUUUGGGUACCUCCAUACACCCACAACAUUGAUCUUUCAACUUUUUUUGUAGAAAAUUU
rnacentral:lncRNA from 1 species